CUGAAUUAAAAUGUAUCCCUAUCUCAGGAACUCUUGGGACCCUUCUAACAAAGACAAAAGAACAUCAAUAUGGUGUAAUAGAAGGAAGAAUGCCAUUUCUUGGAAUGGAAGGAAAUAGAGUCCCACUUGAGCCAUUUUUCAAUGUUCUGGCAUCCUCCUGGGUUCCAACAUUUCUCUGGUUUGGAAGGUGGGGAGGGAAGAAUGGGAUUGGGAAAAUUUGGAGUCUGGUGUGUAAAGAGCAGGCUACCUUUGGGGGCUGUCGAACUAUGUCUAUGAAGGCGUUGGGACUUCCUAUUAAUCCCCCCCCCCCCCCCCGAAAGAGGAAGGGCGGGGGUGAGAAGUGGCAGGUCCCCGCCUUUGAAAUGGUUAAAUGGCAAGGGUGAGACUUGCUUUGGGCUCCGGCCGGUGAAGGGUUAAGGAGGUGGGCGGGGUGACCCUGGGUAGGCCUGCCCCCCUACAGGCCAAUGGGCGUGCGUUAUUUGAAGGGGGCGUGCCUCACCCUUGAGGUCGUCGGGAGGCUGGCCUCCUAUGGGCCAAUGAGCAUGGCCGCGGCCCAGGGAAGGCGUGGUUUGGGAAAGGGGGUGUGGCGGCUUCGACCCGCCGAGGCGGGGGUGAUGGGACACUGGGCGGGGCGGGUGGCCCCAUCAGCUGGUAGGAAAUGGCCUGUGAGUCAGAGGGGCAGCGGAGUCGGCGGCGCGGAGCCGGGGCGGCCCCGGGGAGGAACCGUCGCGGGGAGGGGCGCGGCAGCGGCUGGGGGCUGCGGGCGCCCGGGCCGGAUAGUGUUGCACACGAAGCUGAGCAGAGAAGAGUCUAAGCGAGCAGGACUCAGCCCGAGCAACCCUUUGUCUGGGUUGGGGACCCUUUGGCGGGGAGGACCGGGGAUCCGAGGGGAGGGACUGGGAUUGGAACGGGACGGAAGGGCCCGGAGCAGCGGCCGCCGUGGCGAAGCCAAUUUAGGAGCGGGGGUCCUGCUGAGCCCAGGAGCUGCACGGAAUGGUGGCAGUCACCUUGCCAGUGCAGCAGGCAUGGACCAGACUGCAAGCUAGGGGAACAAAGCAUC
rnacentral:lncRNA from 1 species